rnacentral:rRNA from 1 species
AUGAACGCUAGCGAUAGGCUUAACACAUGCAAGUCGAGGGGCAGCACAAGGUAGCUUGCUAUCUGGGUGGCGACCGGCGCACGGGUGCGUAACGCGUAUGCAACUUGCCCUAUACAGGAGGAUAACCCGUCGAAAGACGGACUAAUACUGCGUAUGCUCACAACUUGGCAUCAAGUGGUGAGGAAAGAAAUUCGGUAUAGGAUAGGCAUGCGUCCCAUUAGCUUGUUGGUGAGGUAACGGCUCACCAAGGCAACGAUGGGUAGGGGAACUGAGAGGUUUAUCCCCCACACUGGUACUGAGACACGGACCAGACUCCUACGGGAGGCAGCAGUGAGGAAUAUUGGUCAAUGGGCGCGAGCCUGAACCAGCCAGGUCGCGUGAAGGAUGACUGUCUUAUGGAUUGUAAACUUCCUUUAUACGGGAAUAACAAGAGUCACGUGUGACUCCCUGCAUGUACCGUAUGAAUAAGCAUCGGCUAACUCCGUG